ensembl:lncRNA novel transcript
GCUUAUUGCAGCCUUGACCUCCUGGACUCAAGCUAUCCUCCCACCUCAGCCUCCCAAGUAGCUGGGACUGCAAGAUUCCGGCCAGACCCGAUAGCUCUCAACCAGCUGCUUCUUGAUCUCUCUGGCUACCCUGGUGGUCUUCAAUGCUCUGCUUCUCCAAGGAGUUUAUGGAACAUGGGCCUAGUCAAGCCUGUUCCAAGUCAUCAAGUAUGGGAUUAAAAGUAUUUCAGGGAUUGAAAUAUAUAUGCAAGCAAAUAUGAAUAUGGAGUCUCAUUUCUCCCUUUCGCAUAAAAGAGAUGGAAUCUGCUUAUGUUACCCAGGCUGGUCUCUAACUCCUAGACUAAAGUGAUCCUCCUGUCUUGGCCUCCCAAAGUACUGGGAUUACAGACAUGUCCCCGGCCACAUUUAUCUUAAUUCAUAAGCUCAGGGGGCAGAAAACAAGAAUCUAUGAAUUCAUACUCCUGAGAUAAAUAAAUAAAGGGAGGAAGCAUUUCAAUACAGUAGCUUUCAAAUGAUGGAUGAAGAAAGAACGAUGGGGUUGAACAUUGGCAUCCACUACAGUAAUACUUGUUUCAGGCCAGAUUCAUCCAUGGAGGCUAACAUCAUUGGUUGAAAUUGUGAUAAGAUAUGAGAUAUUUACCUAACUUCAAUGUCACUCUCCAAAAGAUACUUAUGAAUGACAGAAGGGAAAAGGUAACACCGUGGAAAAACCUGACAGACACCACAUGAACCAAGAUCAGAGCUAACAUCCCCAGUUAACAGGGACAAAUCAACACCGCGUAGUGUGAUGCUCUGAGAAGGCAUAACAUCCCUGCUGGUGCUAUGGUGUUCCUGCUAAAAAUCCCUAACUUGAAUUUGAUCAUGAGAAACAUUAUACACACUCAACUGAGGGACAUUUUACAAAAUAACUGCUUUUACUUUUCAAAAUAAUCAAGACCAUGAAAGACAAAGGAAAAACAGAAGAUCAUUCCAGCUUCAGGCAGACUAAAGAGAUGUGACAAAUAAAUGAAACAUGCCAUCCUGGAAUGGAUUCUGGACCAGGAAAAGAACAUUAGUGGGACAGUUGGUGAAAUCUGAGUAAGAUUAGAUGAUGCUAUUUUAUCAAGGUCAAUUUCCUGAUUUCAAUAAUUGCACUGUGGUUAUGUAAGAGAGUGUCCUUGUUUUUAGGAAAUAUACUCUAUAAAAUAUUUAGAGAUUAAAAAAACAUGAUGGCUCUGCCUUACUCUCAAAUUUUUCAGGAAACAAAUUGAACUUAUACACACCUAUGUUUGUAUAUAUGAGAGAGAAAAUGAUGUGCACAGGGGACAAAAUGUUAAGGUUUGGGGAAGCUGGUAUAUAGAAGGUGGAUGGGAAUCCUUUGUGCUACUCCUUCAAAUUUUUGUAAGUCUGAAACUAUUCCAAAAGAAUAAGUUAAAAAUGAGCAUUAUUCUACAAUAUA